UCCAUGGGGACCUGCAUGAACCCCGGACUCUUCUGUGUGACGCUUUGUCUCCUGGGAACAGGCCUCGUGGACGCUGUGAUCACCCAGAGGCCCCGACACCUUAUCCUACACACGGGAAAAAAGACAACCCUGGAGUGUUCUCAGAACCUGAACCAUUAUGCAAUGUUCUGGUACCGACAAGACCCAGGGCAGGGGCUGCGGCUGCUGCACUAUUCAGGCAGUGUUGGCAGCACAGCUGAAGGAGAAGCCUCCCAAGGGACCAGUGCCUCCAGGGAUCAGAAGGAGCAUUUCCCCCUGACCCUGGAGUCCCCCAGCACCAGCCAGUCCUCCCUGUACCUCUGUGCCAGCAGCGAAGCCACAGCARGGCACAGCCAGCUGCUCUCUGCACAAGAAGUGCAGCCACGGGGUUCAGGUGGACUCUCCUUCCAGAGCCCCUGCCUCAGCCAGCAGAAAACACUGUCCUGA